GUUUUAAUAGUUUAAAAAAAACAUUGGUCUUGUAAACCAAAAAUAAAUUUAUUUUUUAAAACU
rnacentral:tRNA from 1 species